GAUGAACGCUGGCGGCGUGCCUAAUACAUGCAAGUCGAGCGAACGGACGAGAAGCUUGCUUCUCUGAUGUUAGCGGCGGACGGGUGAGUAACACGUGGAUAACCUACCUAUAAGACUGGGAUAACUUCGGGAAACCGGAGCUAAUACCGGAUAAUAUUUUGAACCGCAUGGUUCAAAAGUGAAAGACGGUCUUGCUGUCACUUAUAGAUGGAUCCGCGCUGCAUUAGCUAGUUGGUAAGGUAACGGCUUACCAAGGCAACGAUGCAUAGCCGACCUGAGAGGGUGAUCGGCCACACGGGAACUGAGACACGGUCCAGACCCCUACGGGAGGCAGAAGUAGGGAAUCUUCCGCAAUGGGCGAAAGCCUGACGGAGCAACGCCGGGUGAGUGAUGAAGGUCUUCGGAUCGUAAAACUCUGUUAUUGGGGAAGAACAUAUGUGUAAGUAACUGUGCCCAUUUUGGCGGGACCAAAACAGAAAGCCACGGCUAACUCCGU
rnacentral:rRNA from 1 species